rnacentral:rRNA from 1 species
GCGAGUCUGAAUAGGGCGCAUAAGUAACAGGUCGUAGACCCGAAACCAGGUGAUCUACCCAUGUCCAGGAUGAAGGUAAGGUAAUACUUACUGGAGGUCCGAACCCACGCACGUUGAAAAGUGCGGGGAUGAGGUGUGGGUAGCGGAGAAAUUCCAAUCGAACUUGGAGAUAGCUGGUUCUCUCCGAAAUAGCUUUAGGGCUAGCCUCGAGGUAAAGAGUCAUGGAGGUAGAGCACUGUUUGGACUAGGGGCCCUUCUCGGGUUACCGAAUUCAGAUAAACUCCGAAUGCCAUGUACUUAUACUCGGGAGUCAGACUGCGAGUGAUAAGAUCCGUAGUCGAAAGGGAAACAGCCCAGACCACCAGUUAAGGUCCCCAAAUAUAUGUUAAGUGGAAAAGGAUGUGGGGUUGCUUAGACAACCAGGAUGUUGGCUUAGAAGCAGCCACCAUUGAAAGAGUGCGUAAUAGCUCACUGGUCGAGUGACCCCGCGCCGAAAAUGUACCGGGGCUAAACAUAUUACCGAAACUGUGGAUGAACCUCUUCGGAGGUUCGUGGUAGGAGAGCGUUCUAAGGGCGGUGAAGUCAGACCGGAAGGACUGGUGGAGCGCUUAGAAGUGAGAAUGCCGGUAUGAGUAGCGAAAGAAGGGUGAGAAUCCCUUCCACCGAAUAUCUAAGGUUUCCUGAGGAAGGCUCGUCCGCUCAGGGUUAGUCGGGACCUAAGCCGAGGCCGAUAGGCGUAGGCGAUGGACAACAGGUAGAGAUUCCUGUACCAGUGCUAAUUGUUUAACCGAUGGGGUGACACAGAAGGAUAGGGAAUCGCACGAAUGGAAAUGUGCGUCCAAGCAGUGAGUGUGAGAAGUAGGCAAAUCCGCUUCUCGCGAAGCAUGAGCUGUGAUGGGGAAGGAAAUUAAGUACGGAAGUUCCUGAUUUCACGCUGUCAAGAAAAGCCUCUAGGAAGAGUAGUACUGCCCGUACCGCAAACCGACACAGGUAGAUGAGGAGAGAAUCCUAAGGUGAGCGAGAGAACUCUCGUUAAGGAACUCGGCAAAAUGACCCCGUAACUUCGGGAGAAGGGGUGCUCUAUUAGGGUGCAAGCCCGAGAGAGCCGCAGUGAAUAGGCCCAGGCGACUGUUUAGCAAAAACACAGGUCUCUGCAAAACCGUAAGGUGACGUAUAGGGGCUGACGCCUGCCCGGUGCUGGAAGGUUAAGAGGAGUGCUUAGCUUCGGCGAAGGUACGAAUUGAAGCCCCAGUAAACGGCGGCCGUAACUAUAACGGUCCUAAGGUAGCGAAAUUCCUUGUCGGGUAAGUUCCGACCCGCACGAAAGGCGCAACGAUCUGGGCACUGUCUCAACGAGAGACUCGGUGAAAUUAUAGUACCUGUGAAGAUGCAGGUUACCCGCGACAGGACGGAAAGACCCCGUGGAGCUUUACUGCAACCUGAUAUGGAAUGUUUGUACCGCUUGUACAGGAUAGGUAGGAGCCGAAGAGACGUGUGCGCUAGCAUACGAGGAGGCAAUGGUGGGAUACUACCCUG